AGAGAAUUAGGUAUAAGCUAAACCCUAAGUCUUCAAAACUUAAAAUAUAAUUUUAAAUAUUAUAUUCUCUA
rnacentral:tRNA from 1 species